CCAAUAGCGUAUAUUAAAGUUGUUGCAGUUAAAAAGCUCGUAGUUGAAUUUCGGGGUUAGCAGGUUGGUCGUGCCAAUGGUAUGCACUGGCCUUGCUGAUUCCUCCCUCUUGUAGAACCGUAAUGCCAUUAAGUUGGUGUUGCGGGGAAACAGGACUGUUACUUUGAAAAAAUUAGAGUGUUUAAAGCAGGCUAACGCUUGAAUUACAUUAGCAUGGAAUAAUGAAAUAGGACGAUCGAUCCUAUUUUGUUGGUUUCUAGGAUUGACGUAAUGAUUAAUAGGGAUAGUUGGGGGCAUUAGUAUUCAAUUGUCAGAGGUGAAAUUCUUGGAUUUAUUGAAGACUAACUACUGCGAAAGCAUUUGCCAAGGAUGUUUUCAUUAAUCAAGAACGAAAGUUAGGGGGUCGAAGACGAUCAGAUACCGUCGUAGUCUUAACCAUAAACUAUGCCGACUAGGGAUCGGAUGAUGUUAAUUUUUUAAUGACUCAUUCGGCGCCUUACG
rnacentral:rRNA from 1 species